rnacentral:rRNA from 1 species
UCCCUACGGGAGGCAGCAGUGGGGAAUAUUGCACAAUGGGGGAAACCCUGAUGCAGCGACGCCGCGUGAAGGAAGAAGUAUUUCGGUAUGUAAACUUCUAUCUGCAGGGAAGAAAAUGACGGUACCUGAGUAAGAAGCCCCGGCUAACUACGUGCCAGCAGCCGCGGUAAUACGUAGGGGGCAAGCGUUAUCCGGAUUUACUGGGUGUAAAGGGAGCGUAGACGGCGAAGAAAGUCUGAAGUGAAAGCCCGCGGCUUAACCGCGGAACUGCUUUGGAAACUUUUUUGCUGGAGUACCGGAGAGGG